UACGAAGGGUGCUAGCGUUGUUCGGAAUCACUGGGCGUAAAGCGCGCGUAGGCGGCUUCUCAAGUCAGGGGUGAAAUCCUUGGGCUCAACCCAAGAAUUGCCUUUGAAACUGUGAGCUGGAGUGUCGGAGGGGAUAGCGGAAUUGCUAAUGUAGAGGUGAAAUUCGUAGAUAUUAGCAGGAACACCGGUGGCGAAGGCGGCUAUCUGGACGACAACUGACGCUGAGGCGCGAAAGCACGGGGAUCAAACAGGAGUUAG
rnacentral:rRNA from 1 species